AACGUAGGACACAAGCGUUAUCCGGAGUUACUGGGCGUAAAGGGCGUUUAGGCGGGUGAUUAAGUUCGCUAUGAAAGCGCCAGGCUAAACCUGGCGAGGCUGGCGGAUACUGGUCAUCUGGAGUAAGGAAGAGGGAGGUAGAAUUCCGCGUGUAGUGGUGAAAUGCGUAGAGAUGCGGAGGAAUACCAACGGCGAAGGCAGCACUCUGGGCAGUUUCUGACACUGAGGCACGAAGGCUAGGGGAGCAAACGGG
rnacentral:rRNA from 1 species